UACGUAGGGUGCGAGCGUUAAUCGGAAUUACUGGGCGUAAAGUGUGCGCAGGUGGCCGCGCAAGUCGAGUGUGAAAGCCCCGGGCUUAACUUGGGAAUUGCGCUCGAAACUACGUGGCUCGAGUGUGGCAGAGGAAGGUGGAAUUCCACGUGUAGCGGUGAAAUGCGUAGAGAAUGUGGAGGAACACCGAUGGCGAAGGCAGCCUUCGUGGGCCA
rnacentral:rRNA from 1 species